GUUCUCACAGACGAGAUGUUGGAGUCAUCUGCUCUAAAAGUAAAGCUCAUCUGGAGAACUGCAGCUCUUCACAAACUCUCAAAUGCAGCUCCACACAACAGCUGUCAGUAAAGAACACUGGUCGAGGGUCCAUCAGGCUGGUGGGUUCUGGGGGAGACUGUGCAGGGAG